rnacentral:rRNA from 1 species
UGCCAGCAGCCGCGGUAAUACGGAGGGGGCCAGCGUUGUUCGGAAUUAUUGGGCGUAAAGGGCGCGUAGGCGGCUAGGCAAGUCGGAGGUGAAAUCCCUCGGCUCAACCGAGGAACUGCCCCCGAAACUGCCUAGCUUGAGUCCCGGAGAGGGUAGCGGAAUUCCCAAUGUAGCGGUGAAAUGCGUAGAUAUUGGGAGGAACACCAGUGGCGAAGGCGGCUAUCUGGACGGGUACUGACGCUGAGGUACGAAAGCGUGGGGAGCGAACAGGAUUAGAUA